rnacentral:rRNA from 1 species
CGCAUCUGUGCAUGCAGCAUAUCAAUAAGCGGAGGAAAAGAAACUAACAAGGAUUCCCCUAGUAACGGCGAGUGAAGCGGGAAGAGCUCAAAUUUGAAAUCUUAAAGGGUUUCCCUUUACGAAUUGUAGUUUAAAGAAGUGUUUUCUGUUGAGGUUUUGGUAAAAGUUCUUUGGAAUAGGACAUCAUAGAGGGUGAGAAUCCCGUAUUUGACCUUUACUUUCAACUUUGUGAUACACUUUCAAAGAGUCGGAUUGUUUGGGAAUGCAGUCCAAAAUGGGUGGUAAAUUUCAUCUAAAGCUAAAUAUUGGCGAGAGACCGAUAGCGAACAAGUACCGUGAGGGAAAGAUGAAAAGAACUUUGAAAAGAGAGUUAAACAGUACGUGAAAUUGUCAAAAGGGAAGCGUUUGACACCAGUGUUGUUUUUCUGAAAAUCAAUUAAAGAACUGUUUAUGCUAAGCUGUUUAGACUUUAUCAGCUAACUGUUUAGUUUUGAGCUUUUCUUUAAUGCACUUUUCAGUUAACAAGUCAACAUCAAUUUCUUUUGCUGUAAAAAAGCUUGAGGAAGGUGGCUUGAGAUUCGUCUUAAGUGUUUAUAGCCUCUUGCCUAUGCAGUCGGAGAGAUUGAGGUCUGCAGCGUAGAUCCUUCGGGGCUAAAUGCAUUUGUGCUAAGUUAUAGCAUUUUAUAGACAACUUGUUGACUAUGAUUUGUCUUGUAGCUUACUCGCUUAUGUUAUUUUACCUACGCUUAGGAUGUUGAGCGCAUGUCUCUCUCU